AAUAUCAAUAAUGACUUAUCAUCGAAAGCAUACUGAUACUUAAUAUAAAAUAUUAGGUCUACCAAAAAGUUUUGUCCGUUUUUGAAUUGAAAGAAAAUAAUAUAUUUUCAAUAUAUUUAUUAAUAUUUACUGAACAAUAUAAUUUCUAUCAUUACUAAUCACCUCUUUUCAGUUUGAUGGUAAUUUAUGGAUUGACUCCAUUUCAAUAGAAUCAUCUUUGGAGGCAUUAAAUUUAAGCAGUGCUUAGCUGAUAUUUGCUUCAUUUUUGAAUUUUUUUCUCUACAACAAAUUUUACAGGGAGAGAAACAAAUGAAACCUGAGAAUAUGGUGGAUGUGGCAAAAUUUCCCAGCCUAUCUCUGCAAUUUUUUAGCGAGUCGCCAAAAUAGCAUGUGGUCUGUUAACUCAUGAGGCAUCCAUCUGGCAUAUUUAUAUACCAUUCCAAGCUUCCGAAUAUGGUCCAGAAUGGUUUGUUGUGUUGAAUUGACCUUUACCAAGGUUUCUGAUGUUGCAAAGAAAGGAUCUUGCUGUAUAAUCGUCCUCAAUAUCGACAAUAUCGUCAUCAAUUAAAGAUGGUCUUCCAGAGCAUAGUUUGUCAUUAAGAUUGAAAUCUUCUGCUUCAAAUUUUUCGGACCAUCCCCUGCAUGUUCUGUUGGAAACUAUCUUCACUAAAAAUGUUCAAAUUUCUACAUGCUUCUGCAACAUUUUUACCUUUUUGGAAUUCAUAUAGAAUGCAAUACAGCAAAUGAAUUUUAUCAAUAGACAUGUUUACACAAACGAAUCUCACUUAAUAUUGAGAUGACGAAACCAUCGUUUCCGUAAAUUUAGAGAAAAGUAAAGAGACAACCAUAUAUGUUUAAAACGAAUAUGUUCAUACAUGUUGAAACUUGAGAUGACAGAUCAGAAUUAUCGGACAGAACUUUCUAAUAGACCUAAUAGUUAAAAAUAAUUUGAUAAUUGUACCAUAUGAUCUUUCUCAACAUAAUGUACAUAUAUCAAGUAUGAAUUAUACAUCUGGAUUUCUUUACAUGCACAAUACAUACUGUGCAAAAAAAAUAUCGUGUAAAAAGUGAUCCACAAGAACUAUAAAAUUUAUAUUAAACUAAUGCGAACUAUACAAAGCACUUUAAAAUAUAGAAAUACAUUCAUUAAAAACAUUUUAUUUAAUAAACACAUAAAAGAAAAAUUAGUGUGUUGAGGUAAAUGAAAAAAAAAUAUUUUUUCAAAAAAAUACACAUGAUUAUCAUGACAUUUUCUGCAAACUAAUUAGUAUGCGUUUUUGCAACUGUGUAAAAGUAAGUAAAACGUGUGAAUAAAACAUGUUAAGAAAAUCUCUCAUAUAGAGGCUUAUAUCAUAUUCAACUAAUUGCAUCAUAUAUAAAUUAUCAUAAUAUUACCAUUAUAUUUUUUAUUAAUUUGUAAUGUAAUCAGAAAAUGUAGAAAAUAUAGAAAUCCAAUGAAAAUAUAAUACUCAUUCAAAUUUUAACAAUAAACUUGUUCAUUACAUAAUACAUUUGCUAAUAUAAUAUUAUGCCAGGUUCUUCUGAUUGCAAUUUUUAUCCGAUUUUGAUGUUUAAGAGUUUGUUUAAAAAAUAAAAGAUAAAUAUAUGAAAUUACCUUUUUUGGUUUUUUGAACAAAUUAUUUUCUUUGCAAAAGUCAUGUUUAAGAAAAGGUUAUUUUGAAGAAUCAUUUUGACAUGAAAGGAAACUUUUGAAAGUAUUAAAAAAAUAAUUUUUUUCAUCUUUUAUCUUUCCAUCAUCUAAAUUAUAGUGCAAAUGCUUAUAUAUGAAUUGAGUGAAUCUGAUGUAAUAAAUUCAAGAAACAAAAAGCAAGGUUUGUCUCCUUAUUCUGGACUGAUUCUAAUGAACAAGGGCUUAGCUAAAAAUAAAUUUAUUACAUGAGACUAUUUUCUUAAAAUUUUAAUAUAUGAUUUUGUUUUCAUGUAAAUUAAUCUUGAAUAUUAACAUUCUUUACAGAUAAUUUGUUUUAAAAAUAUAUAUUUUUAUUUUGAAAAUGUCAUGUCGUGAGCCAUUGUUUUGUCUUUUAAAUAGGUCCUUGCUCAUAACAACGUAUCUAUAAUUAUAUUUAUUGUUAUGCUGUGCCAUUUAAGAAAAAUUUCGUUGAAUUUAUACUUUUCAUGUUACUUUAGAAAAAUGAAUAAAUUAUGAACUUUAUACAAAAUUAAAAAAUUUAGAUAUAUAUUAUUAUAUUGUAAAGCGUAAUGUAAUCUUUAUUCUACUAAUAGUUUGUUUUUUCUUUGAAACUAAGAUUGUGUUUCUCUUUUAAACAAUAUAUCUUUUUAUAUGUUAUUUUUUGUAUAGAACAAGAAUUUAAUAAUAACCUUAUUAUCUUUAUAAAAUUCUGGCUACAAUAUAUAAUAAAUGCAAUAGGACAGAUAAUUUCCAUUUUUCAUUACUGCGUACAAUAUGUAUUGAUCCAUCGCUUUUUGAUUUACAUGCAAGUAUUUACGCAUGGUCUACAGUCUUGACUGUGAUAAUGGAUUAUUAGCUAUAAUAUAAUCACGCAUGUUUUGCUACUAGUGUUUUAUUUUAUUGUUACUUGUCGCCUAAAAGAGAAUGGUCCUUCAGUCAUAAGUACUUAAUUCAUAUGUUAGUUACUAUUAGGUGGAUCGGAAAGUAAUGUCGUUUCUGCGCAUGUCGAUAUUUGAUAGUAAUUAAAAAUAAAAACUUGUUAAAAAUUUAUUCGUUUGAAUUUAAUUUAAAAAAGCGACAUUACUUUCCGGUCCAUCUAAUACUUUCGAACCAUUUUAUUAAUUCUGUUAAAAUACGGGAUAUUCUUAGAAAGACUUUUUACCAUUGUUACCAUUAUGGAAUAUAAAUAAAAGACGAUCCUUAGACUCUUAAUCGAUAGAAUUAGGAUUUCCAGGUAAUAAUUGAUUAACUAUAUGUCACCCUUUGUGAGAAAAAAUAAUUUUUUCUGAAAAGAAAUUCAUAUAUUUUUGUUCAGUCUCAGUUCACUUCUUGAUCUGUUAUAUUUUUCCUGUAUUCAAUAUCGUCUGAAAUCGUCAUCAAUGAUGUUUCUUGGAAAUGACUGAUGAAAUUCUGAUAAUUUGUAGUUUUUUAUAUAUGAUACAGUACAAAGAAAUCCGACUAUUGUCAUCUUAACGUGUUUUGUAUUUGAUUGUGACUUUCGAAAAAAAUUUGAAGAUAGUAGUCUAGUAGUGGGGAGGAGUAAUAAUAGUAGUUGUUAGAUUAUGAUGCGACUGUGAACUUCGAGAGCAUUAAAGAUGAGAUGUUAUCGGAAUUCUGUCGUUGAUUGAACUGGCACUAAACGGAAAUGUGUGAACAUGUACAUUUAAAUUACAUAUAAUAAUGUUAUAAUCACUGUUGUCGAACAAUCGAAACGAAAACUAAAUUGAAAUGUGUGAAUCGACUUCUGUCUAUGUAUUGUUAAUUGUAUAUGUAUUGUAUAUGUAUUGUUAAUUAGGAUCGGAAAAUGUUAAAAAUAUAACGGCAUCGACAAUAUCAUUUGCUCGUAGAGCGGAUAUACCGGAUUAUACCGGUAAAAUCGGUAAUACUCAUAUUCCAUGUAAUCUUAUAAACAUUUCGUUACACAUAGGUAAAUAUACAAGAAGUAUUUAUAUUAUUAUAA